GGUUCCUGUAGUUGAAUGAUAUGUCAGCGGUGGUUUUUCAAGCCAUAGAUCUUGGAGCGAGGCCAAGCAGGAACU
rnacentral:tRNA from 1 species